CCUACGGGUGGCAGCAGUGAGGAAUAUUGGUCAAUGGACGAAAGUCUGAACCAGCCAAGUAGCGUGAAGGAUGACUGCCCUAUGGGUUGUAAACUUCUUUUAUAAGGGAAUAAAACGAGGCACGUGUGCCGUUUUGCAUGUACUUUAUGAAUAAGGAUCGGCUAACUCCGUGCCAGCAGCCGCGGUAAUACGGAGGGUCCGAGCGUUAUCCGGAUUUAUUGGGUUUAAAGGGAGCGUAGAUGGGUUGUUAAGUCAGUUGUGAAAGUCUGCGGCUCAACCGUAAAAUUGCAAUUGAUACUGGCAGUCUUGAGUACAGGUGAGGUAAGCGGAAUUCGUGGUGUAGCGGUGAAAUGCUUAGAUAUCACGAAGAACCCCGAUUGCGAAGGCAGCUUACUAAACUGUGACUGACAUUGAUGCUCGAAAGUGUGGGUAUCAAACAGGAUUAGAUACCCGGGUAGUC
rnacentral:rRNA from 1 species